UUCACUGUUGCAUGUGGGAAUUUCCUUUUAUAGAAAAUAAAUCUCAUUUUCCUAAAUAAUACAACAAGGUUAAUUAAUUCCAGAUAUUUUUUGUCCCACUGAUCUUCUAGGAACCUUCCUUACCUUGGUGCCUUGACUGCUGAGCUCUCAGAAGACUUGAUUAUUCAGGCUACCUCCCUCCUCCAAAGUCUACCUGGUUAAUGUUAAUUGUUCCCAAGCAUCUUAUAUAUGCUUCUCUUCCGUGGGCACAGACUUAAAUCAAAUUUUCAAAAGCUGGGCUGUAAGGUUAAAUGAAGCUUCUUUCCAGGUAUAUCUGGUAGUAGCCUAAACAAAGAGCUGAGCUGGUGUUUUAAUAGAUGGCUUGGUUGGAGGGCUUCAAUUAAGAUGGUUCCUAAAUUAUCCAAUGAAGAGAGGAUCUAAACUACAGAAUGUUUACCAAUUUCUAUAAAAACAGGUGAGGGGCAAGGGAAUAAAAAAAGGGGGG